AGUGAACGCUGGCGGUAGGCCUAACACAUGCAAGUCGAACGGCAGCACAGUAAGAGCUUGCUCUUACGGGUGGCGAGUGGCGGACGGGUGAGGAAUACAUCGGAAUCUACUUUUUCGUGGGGGAUAACGUAGGGAAACUUACGCUAAUACCGCAUACGACCUACGGGUGAAAGCAGGGGAUCUUCGGACCUUGCGCGAUUGAAUGAGCCGAUGUCGGAUUAGCUAGUUGGCGGGGUAAAGGCCCACCAAGGCGACGAUCCGUAGCUGGUCUGAGAGGAUGAUCAGACACACUGGAACUGAGACACGGUCCAGACUCCUACGGGAGGCAGCAGUGGGGAAUAUUGGACAAUGGGCGCAAGCCUGAUCCAGCCAUACCGCGUGGGUGAAGAAGGCCUUCGGGUUGUAAAGCACUUUUGUUGGGAAAGAAAAGCAGCAGGUUAAUACCCCGCUGUUCUGAAGGUACCCAAAGAAUAAGCACCGGCUAACUUCGUG
rnacentral:rRNA from 1 species